ACAGGGAGCUUGCUCCGCUGACGAGUGGCGAACGGGUGAGUAAUAUAUCGGAACGUACCCAAGAGUGGGGGAUAACGUAGCGAAAGUUACGCUAAUACCGCAUACGAUCUAUGGAUGAAAGCAGGGGACCUUCGGGCCUUGUGCUCCUGGAGCGGCCGAUAUCUGAUUAGCUAGUUGGUGAGGUAAAGGCUCACCAAGGCGACGAUCAGUAGCUGGUCUGAGAGGACGACCAGCCACACUGGAACUGAGACACGGUCCAGACUCCUACGGGAGGCAGCAGUGGGGAAUUUUGGACAAUGGGCGCAAGCCUGAUCCAGCAAUGCCGCGUGAGUGAAGAAGGCCUUCGGGUUGUAAAGCUCUUUUGUCAGGGAAGAAACGGCUGUGGCUAAUAUCCACGGCUAAUGACGGUACCUGAAGAAUAAGCACCGGCUAACUACGUGCCAGCAGCCGCGGUAAUACGUAGGGUGCAAGCGUUAAUCGGAAUUACUGGGCGUAAAGCGUGCGCAGGCGGUUUUGUAAGUCUGUCGUGAAAUCCCCGGGCUCAACCUGGGAAUUGCGAUGGAGACUGCAAGGCUAGAAUCUGGCAGAGGGGGGUAGAAUUCCACGUGUAGCAGUGAAAUGCGUAGAGAUGUGGAGGAACACCGAUGGCGAAGGUAGCCCCCUGGGUCAAGAUUGACGCUCAUGCACGAAAGCGUGGGGAGCAAACAGGAUUAGAUACCCUGGUAGUCCACGCCCUAAACGAUGUCUACUAGUUGUCGGGUUUUAAUUAACUUGGUAACGCAGCUAACGCGUGAAGUAGACCGCCUGGGGAGUACGGUCGCAAGAUUAAAACUCAAAGGAAUUGACGGGGACCCGCACAAGCGGUGGA
rnacentral:rRNA from 1 species